rnacentral:rRNA from 1 species
GUCGAACGAGAAAGCCCUUCGGGGUUAGUAAAGUGGCGAACGGGUGAGUAACACGUGGGCAAUCUGCCCUUCGUUGGGGGACAACCGGGGGAAACCCCGGCUAAUACCCCGUAAGCUUGUCGGGUCACAUGGCCUGACAAGGAGAGGUAGCUUCGGCCAUCCGGCGAAGGAGGAGCCCGCGGUACAUUAGCUAGUUGGUGAGGUAACGGCUCACCAAGGCUACGAUGUAUAGCUGGUCUGAGAGGAUGAUCAGCCACACUGGGACUGAGACACGGCCCAGACUCCUACGGGAGGCAGCAGUCGGGAAUCUUGCACAAUGGGCGAAAGCCUGAUGCAGCAACACCGUGUGAGCGAUGAAGGCCCUAGGGUCGUAAAGCUCUGUUUGCGAGGACGAAGGGCGAAGGGUUAAUAGCCCUUAGCCUGACGGUACUUGUACAGAAAGCCCCGGCUAACUACGUGCCAGCAGCCGCGGUAAUACGUAGGGGGCGAGCGUUGUCCGGAAUUAUUGGGCGUAAAGAGCGUGUAGGCGGCUUGGUAAGUCUGCUGUGAAACCUUGGGGCUCAACCCCAAGCGUGCAGUGGAUACUGUCAAGCUAGAGGAUGGUAGAGGCCAGUGGAAUUCCCAGUGUAGCGGUGAAAUGCGCAGAUAUUGGGAGGAACACCAGUAGCGAAGGCGGCUGGCUGGGCCAUUCCUGACGCUGAGACGCGAAAGCUAGGGGAGCGAACAGGAUUAGAUACCCUGGUAGUCCUAGCUGUAAACGAUGAACACUAGGUGUGGGGGGAGUCGAAUCCCUCCGUGCCGAAGCCAACGCGUUAAGUGUUCCGCCUGGGGAGUACGGCCGCAAGGCUAAAACUCAAAAGAAUUGACGGGGGCCCGCACAAGCAGCGGAGCAUGUUCUUUAAUUCGAUGCAACGCGAAGAACCUUACCUGGACUUGACAUGGCACUGCAGCGCACGGAAACGUGUGACCUUCGAGG